rnacentral:rRNA from 1 species
GACGAACGCUGGCGGCGUGCUUAACACAUGCAAGUCGAACGGAAAGGCCCUGCUUUUGUGGGGUGCUCGAGGGGCGAACGGGUGAGUAACACGUGAGUAACCUGCCCUUGACUGUGGGAUAACUUCAGGAAACUGGGGCUAAUACCGGAUAGGAGCUCCUGCUGCAUGGUGGGGGUUGGAAAGUUUCGGCGGUUGGGGAUGGACUCGCGGCUUAUCAGCUUGUUGGUGGGGUAGUGGCUUACCAAGGCUUUGACGGGUAGCCGGCCUGAGAGGGUGACCGGCCACAUUGGGACUGAGCUACGGCCCAGACUCCUACGGGAGGCAGCAGUGGGGAAUAUUGCACAAUGGGCGGAAGCCUGAUGCAGCAACGCCGCGUGCGGGAUGACGGCCUUCGGGUUGUAAACCGCUUUCGCCUGUGACGAAGCGUGAGUGACGGUAAUGGGUAAAGAAGCACCGGCUAACUACGUG